rnacentral:rRNA from 1 species
AGCCUGAACGCUGGCGGCGUGGCUAAGACAUGCAAGUCGAACGGGUGUAGCAAUACACCAGUGGCGGACGGGUGAGUAAUAAAUCGCUAAUGUACCCCGGAGCCAGGGAUAGCCUUCCGAAAGGGAGGGUAAUACCUGAUGAGACCACGAACAGGCAUCUGUUUGUGCUCAAAGCCGUAAGGCACUCUGGGAGCAGGCGAUUACGUAUCAGCUUGUUGGUGAGGUAACGGCUCACCAAGGCGACGACGCGUAGCUGGUCUGAGAGGACGGCCAGCCACAUUGGGACUGAGACACUGCCCAGACUCCUACGGGGGGCUGCAGUAACGAAUCUUCCGCAAUGCACGAAAGUGUGACGGAGCGACGCCGCGUGUAGGACGAAGUCCUUCGGGAUGUAAACUACUGUCGAGGGGUAAGAAAGUUCUGAUCUACCCAGAGGAAGAGACGGCUAACUCUGUGCCAGCAGCCGCGGU